rnacentral:rRNA from 1 species
CCUACGGGCGGCAGCAGUGGGGAAUAUUGGACAAUGGGGGGAACCCUGAUCCAGCCAUGCCGCGUGUGUGAAGAAGGCCCUCGGGUUGUAAAGCACUUUCAGUGAGGAAGAACGCCUGGUGGUUAAUACCCAUCAGGAAAGACAUCACUCACAGAAGAAGCACCGGCUAACUCCGUGCCAGCAGCCGCGGUAAUACGGAGGGUGCGAGCGUUAAUCGGAAUUACUGGGUGUAAAGCGCGCGUAGGUGGCUUGAUAAGCCGGUUGUGAAAGCCCCGGGCUCAACCUGGGAACGGCCUCCGGAACUGUCAAGCUAGAGUGCAGGAGAGGAAGGUAGAAUUCCCGGUGUAGCGGUGAAAUGCGUAGAGAUCGGGAGGAAUACCAGUGGCGAAGGCGGCCUUCUGGACUGACACUGACACUGAGGUGCGAAAGCGUGGGUAGCAAACAGGAUUAGAUACCCUUGUAGUC